UAACUUUCAACAACGGAUCUCUUGGCUCUCGCAUCGAUGAAGAACGCAGCGAAAUGCGAUACGUAAUGUGAAUUGCAGAAUUCAGUGAAUCAUCGAAUCUUUGAACGCACCUUGCGCCCCUUGGCAUUCCGAGGGGCACACCCGUUUGAGUGUCGUG
rnacentral:rRNA from 1 species